GGGGUGAGUCUGCUGCCCUCUGCGCCAGGAUCCAACAAGACUCAAAGACCCUGGUCUCUUCUCUCAGAAAGAAGUCCCACAGGAGGAAGACAGCCAGGCCCCCAGGGAGCAUGGAGGAUGCAACUACCAUCCCUAGUUAAUCCCUCAGAAGACCUCCGGACUGUGUUUCCAGAGACCAUCACUGUCCACGUCCUGCACAGUAUGAACAGCUACAUGUCCUCUCCAUGGCCAGAGACUGAGCUGAAAACACCACAGGCUGGAUUUGAAGGCCUGGUGUGGUCUGUCUCCUGCUGGACUCUCCCGCAGAUUCCUCCCUCUCCCUGCAUCUGACAGUGUCUCCACUCCCAGCUGGGCCAAGGACUCGGUGACUCUGAAACUUUGCAU
rnacentral:lncRNA from 1 species